GAAAGUUGGCCAACUCUCUUCAUA
rnacentral:siRNA from 1 species